AUCUGGCCUCAAAUCAGGUAGGACUACCCGCUGAACUUAAGCAUAUCAAUAAGCGGAGGAAAAGAAACUAACAAGGAUUCCCCUAGUAACGGCGAGUGAAGCGGGAAGAGCUCAAAUUUGAAAUCUGGUGGCCUCAGGUCAUCCGAGUUGUAAUCUAUAGAAGUGUUUUCCGUGCUGGCUCAUGUACAAGUCCCUUGGAACAGGGCGUCAUAGAGGGUGAGAAUCCCGUCCUUGACAUGAACUACCAGUGCUCUGUGAUACAUUUUCAACGAGUCGAGUUGUUUGGGAAUGCAGCUCAAAAUGGGUGGUAAAUUCCAUCUAAAGCUAAAUAUUGGCGAGAGACCGAUAGCGAACAAGUACCGUGAGGGAAAGAUGAAAAGCACUUUGGAAAGAGAGUUAAACAGUAUGUGAAAUUGUUGAAAGGGAAACGAUUGAAGUCAGUCGUGCUCUUUGGAUUCAGCCGGUUCUGCCGGUGUACUUCCUUUGAGUGGGGUCAACAUCAGUUUUGAUCGCUGGAUAAAGGCGGGAGGAAUGUAGUACCCUCGGGUAAACUUAUAGCCUCUUGUCACAUACAGUGGUUGGGACUGAGGAACGCAGCAUGCCUUUAUGGCCGGGAUUCGUCCACGUACAUGCUUAGGAUGUUGACAUAAUGGCUUUAAACGACCCGUCUUGAAACACGGACCA
rnacentral:rRNA from 1 species